GACAUCUCCGGGGCCAACAAACACAAGCAAGCGCAAGCUCCUCCUUCUCCUUCUGCUUCUGCUUCUCCUCUUUCUUCAGGGUAAUCGGCCGGAGUCAGACACGAAGCCGGCGGCCAAGGCACGACGACUCAAAAGGAGGAGGAUCAGCUCAUCAUCAUCACACACAGGUCGAUCGACCAUGUGUAACAACAGCGGCGGGGCGAUGGCGGCGAGGAAGGGGCCGUGGACGGAGAAGGAGGACGCACAACUGGUAUGGUUCGUGCGCUUGCUCGGGGAACGGCGUUGGGAUUUCUUAGCUCAGGUCUCAGGUUUGCGCGGUGGCGGGUGAUCGAUCCAACCUGACCUCUACGGCCAGUCGCCAUUAAUCAUCUUCUCUUCCUCUCCCCCUGCCCCUCCGGCGCGUUCUCGGCUGUGCUUCGUGCGUGCAGGUCUCCGGCGCACCGGCAAGAGCUGCCGCCUCCGCUGGGUCAACUACCUGCACCCGGGCCUCAAGCGCGGGCGCAUCACCGCCGACGAGGAGCGCCUCAUCCUCACCCUCCACGCCGAGUGGGGGUCCCGCUGGUCCAGGAUCGCGCGGAAGCUCCCCGGCCGCACCGACAACGAGAUCAAGAACUACUGGAGGACGCACAUGAGGAAGAAGGCCCAGGAGGAGAAGAUGAUGGCCAAGAACAAGGCCUCCUCCGACUCCACCGCCGCCAACUCGCUGACGACGACGACGACCUGCUCGGCAUCCACCCCCACGGCCACCUCCUCGACCACCGACGCGCCGCAGACUAGCAUGGGCGACGAGGCCGAGGAGGAGGCCUCCACGUCGGCGACCGAGGAGAAGAAGGCGGAGGUGGUGCAGUACUGCUACGCUGUGGACAUGGAUCAGCUCUGGAACGACAUCGCCG
rnacentral:lncRNA from 1 species